GUUGUUGCUGAUCUUGAAUUUAACCGUAAUCAAUACAACAUGACCAUCGUAGUACCAGUUAUCGAAAACGUGACGGUCAAGCACUACAUUCUUGAUACAGAUUAUUAUAGCUACGUCAUAUAUUACGCAUGUGUCAACGAUGGAUACAACGGUAUUCCCGCAAUUUGGGUCAAGACACGAGACCAAUUUCCAAGAUUUUCGGUAAAGAACGUAGUUCAAAAUGCCUUGAGAAGAAAUGGUUUCCCAUACAUAGACUUGACUCAAACCUGGCAAGGAAAAUGCUAUUAAAGGAAUGAUUAUAUCUUUGAUGUCAUUUAAAGUGUAAAACUAUAUAUAUGUAUAAAUAUAUCCAUAUAUAAACCAAAUAAAAAAAUAACUAAAAUUAA